UACGUAGGUGGCAAGCGUUGUCCGGAAUUAUUGGGCGUAAAGCGCUCGCAGGCGGUCUUUUAAGUCUGAUGUGAAAGCCCACGGCUCAACCGUGGAGGGUCAUUGGAAACUGGAGGACUUGAGUACAGAAGAGGAGAGUGGAAUUCCACGUGUAGCGGUGAAAUGCGUAGAGAUGUGGAGGAACACCAGUGGCGAAGGCGACUCUCUGGUCUGUAACUGACGCUGAGGAGCGAAAGCGUGGGGAGCGAACAGG
rnacentral:rRNA from 1 species